rnacentral:rRNA from 1 species
CCUACGGGGGGCAUCAGUGAGGAAUAUUGGUCAAUGGGCGGAAGCCUGAACCAGCCAAGUCGCGUGAGGGAUUAAGGCCCUGCGGGUCGUAAACCUCUUUUGCCGGGGAGCAGUGGUCCGGACGAGUCCGGGCCGGGAGAGUACCCGGAGAAAAAGCAUCGGCUAACUCCGUGCCAGCAGCCGCGGUAAUACGGAGGAUGCGAGCGUUAUCCGGAUUUAUUGGGUUUAAAGGGUGCGUAGGCGGGCAUUUAAGCCGGCGGUCAAAUGUCGGGGCUCAACCCCGGCCUGCCGUCGGAACUGGGUGCCUUGAGUGGGCGAGAAGUAUGCGGAAUGCGUGGUGUAGCGGUGAAAUGCAUAGAUAUCACGCAGAACCCCGAUUGCGAAGGCAGCAUACCGGCGCCCGACUGACGCUGAGGCACGAAAGUGCGGGUAUCGAACAGGAUUAGAUACCCUGGUAGUC